UCUUUUCUUCUCUCGUUUCUCCAUCUUCGUCUUCUUCAACGGAAGUUCUUGUUGUUGUUGCUGCGUGGAAGACAAUGGUGGAUUGCACGAACUCGCAUACCUCGAAUCGUUUCAGCUUUCGUCGCUAUUGAAAGGGUUUGAAUCGAUCCACAACUUGGGCUGCUGCUCAACGAGGAUGGUGAGUCGCGAUUCUUGCGUUUGAGGCAAGAUUGGGUUUUGAUCUGUAAACCCAUGUGAUCUAAUUGUAAUUGGAGGAUGAGAUUGUAGCAACCUUCCACCUUUUCCUGUAAAUGCACGAUAACUGUUCGUGAAAAUGCCAGAGUGAAACAGAGUAUUAUACUGGUGGAGUGAUAAAAAGCUAACCUUGGUUAUGUUAAGGACACCGAGGAGGUUGGUUUGGUUUGGAUCCGAGGAAGGUAUGCUCACAGAUAGGACUCUGCGGUUUUGACGGUACGCAUGGUGUGAGUAUGGGGAUAAAGUCAAUUGUAGAAGAUGGAGUCUCAGGUCUUCUAAACGAAGCCGUGCAGCGCCUGUGAAAUGGCAUAUGUGUGGAUGCAGAGUGAGUUGUCUCAGAAUCAAACACAAGAACGCAUACUCGCUUAUGCUGCUGAGGAUUAGGUUUGUGAAGAUGGCACCAAAGUAUCGUUAUCGUAUUAGGACAUGAAGACAUAGUGCGGAGAAGACGAAACGUCAUUGUAUUAAGAGUAGCCGUCGUUGAGAUCCUCGGAGAGAAGAGAAAGUCCCCCAAUCAACAACUCAUCUACUUCCUCACCGGUGCCGCAUCUCUAUUGCACAAACACAAAGGUACGGUGAGCCUCCCAAUAUAUUUGCUUAUUGCGAUUUAGAUUUGGUGAGAACUUGAUCUUGUACCAUGACUUAAGGAGCUUUGCAAUCUUGGUUUUGCCUUUGUGUGUAGUUUUUCUCAGUAAUCAAACUAUCUUUCCAUUCCUUAAAUUUUUUUUUUUCUAAGAAACCCAAAUUAAGAAACUACCAUUGUAGCACAAAAAUUAAGUGAUUGUUAACUAAGGUCCUUAGCUAAACUCUAAUAGUUAAAUAGUCAUUAAAAUGUACUUAGACCAUGAUUAAUCUGGGGUUCUUAGA